GGAUGUGAGGGCGAUCUGGCUGCGACAUCUGUCACCCUAUUGAUCUCCAGGGUUGAUUCAGCUGAUCUGGCUGGCUAGGCAGGUGUCCCCUUCCUCCCUCACUGCUCCAUGUGCAUCCCACCUGAAGCUGCAUGCUUGGCCGGAGGUCCCCCAGAGGAGGAUUGUUUCCUCUAUCAAGGGUAUUUGAGUAGCUGUGUCUCCCUGGAAGAACCUCCACACAAGUUCUCAAAGACUAAAUGGGAAAUUUUUAUCAAGAUGGUAAGCUCUGUUGACAUAGAAAAACAUCUCUACUACCACAAAAUAUGCUAGAUUUUGAGAAAAUGUAAUUU
rnacentral:snRNA from 1 species